rnacentral:rRNA from 1 species
GAUGAACGCUGGCGGCGUGCCUAAUACAUGCAAGUCGAGCGAAGCGGGUACGGGUGAGUAACACGUGGAUAACCUCCUAUAAGACUGGGAUAACUUCGGGAAACCGGAGCUAAACCGGAUACUUAUAACUGAAGCCUCGCUGCAUUAGCUAGUUGGUCAGGUAACGGCAUACCAAGGCAACGAUGCAUAGCCGACCUGAGCGGGUGACCGGCAACAAUGUAACUGAGACACGGUCCAGACUCCUACGGGAGGCAGCAGUAGGGAAUCUUCAGCAAGGGGCGAAAGCCUGACGUAGCAACGCCGCGUGAGUGAUGAAGGCCUUCGGAUCGUAAAACUCUGUUAUUAGGGAAGCGGUACCUACUCAGGAAGCCACGGCUAACUCCGUGCCAGCAGCCGCGGUAAUUC